GUUCUUUUGGCGCUGGGCCCGCCUCCGGGGUUGCCUAGCAACGUCAAGCUGGGCACCAAGCCUUUUCCAGGUUCUGGGUUCAGACUUGAAUCCGCGGCACCUCACCCUCUUCCCCGACAGGAGACCAGAUACGCAUUUCACUUCUUUAUUGGCAGCCCGGAGCCUGGUCUGGGCUCUCCCGGGCGCUUACACGUCCCAACCCCAGACUGAGGUGCCCAAAGGCCUCCCAAACAGCCCUGGCCUGCUUGACCUUCGACCCUCAGGACAGAGAAAGCUACCAGCUAUGCCUGCUGACCCCACUGGUCAGGUGGAGCCGCGGUGCCUCGUGUAGUCCUGAAUGGAGGCCUGGAAGUGCUCUGUGCUGUUGAGGUCUGGGCGGCAGAGGAUCACGUAGCACUUGGGCAGAAAAUACCCGCCGAAGCCGCUGCUCAGGCUGCUCAGCCCAGCCAGCAUGUUGACCGCGGGCAGAUACUUGCCGUCGUAGACACUAGCCGUGGUGAAGAAGGCGAUCCAGGACAUGAAGUUGAAGAGCAGGCUGAAGGUGACACAUUUGGCCUCGUUGUAGUUCUCUGGCAAGUCCUUGCCCAGGUAGCUGCAGGCAAAGGCACUGAUGGAGAGAAGGCCAUUGUAGAGAAAGGCCAGUAUGAAGCCCAGGGAGUUGGCCUCUGUGCACUCAAGCAUCACCAGAUGGGGGAAGCGCUGGUAUUCCCUAGUGGGCAGUGGAGUCCACACCACCAGCCAAGUUAGACAGAUAAGCAGCUGAGCCGCUGAGCUGAUCAUCACAAACAGGCCAGCACCAUGGUUUUGGACCCAGACGCGGUAGAAGCAUUUGGCCCGUGCCUCCUACAUCUCCUUACCCAGUUUUUACGGGACCGUAUUAGAGCCUUCGCCCAUGGUGAGAGGUGACAACGUGCUAACAGCCCUCGCUCGCUCUCGAUGGGUCAGUACAAGACAUGAUGCUACUUCAAGAAUACCAGCGGCUUCAAGAACAACUGUACCAACCCCACAGCCUUUCUCCAUAAACAUCGCCCCUCUUCAGCUAGAAGCAGUCAGAAGGCAACGCCACCCCUUCUCUAUUACCUAUUAAAGGCUGGAAUGUUAGGGACCCAACCCAGCAAAGGCCCUCCGCCAAGGCGGAUGUUUUCCCCACCCCGUUUUUCUCUGUCCCCUCUUUUUCUCACCGCCUACAGGUCCUCCGCCAAGGCAGAUGUUCCCCAGCUGUUGUUUUUUCCCCCUAACAUCUGCCCAUCAACCAGGAAGUGGUUUUACCCAGAAACAGCCCCUAGGCGCCCCUGCGCCCUCCCUAAAAUAUACUUAUACCCUCUAGUCUGUAAGCCCGGGCUGCUGCUUCCUUGGAUUGCUGUGGGGCAGCCCAGCAGGUUAAUAAACUUGCUUGCCUGAC